CUUUCUCUGAUACUUCUCCCAAGUCUGAUUGGUACACAUACCUUAAAGCAACCCACAUUGAGGCUUCUUGACAUAGAGUGAAUAUAAAGCUGGCUUUAGGCCUUUCUUACAUGUUCCUGUAAUAUAUAGUUGUUGAAAAAAUUUAAAUAAUGUCUCUGCUGCGCACCUAAUAGCUGGUGUCUGAGCAAAGUGUCUAAUCUGAAUGUAUCCCCCUAUGAAAUGUAUCCUCGUAUUUAAAACCUCAAAAGUGACCAUCUUUCCACCUGGCCAUAAAUGAUAUAAGGAUACCCACCCUCUCUAAAUUUUCAAAAUCAUGCAAUCUUAUGCCAGGGUAAACUACCUAUUUUGAAAAAAAAAAUUCAGCUUUUCCGAGAUAUAUAAUGAGUUUGAAAUGGCACAAUGUUCCUAAUGAUAUCCUAGAAGGUUUAUCAAGCCCAAUAUUAAGUGAUAAUGAGUCUGACCUCAACAGGUAUGAUUCUAUCUCUACCAGCGAUGUUCAGUAGGAUGGGUAUGCCACAUCACUAUUUGUGACAAUUGUGCUACGUAGUAGUAUAAAAGCAAGCUGGGAAGGCCUAAUUCUCCUCUAUUCCUAGGUCUAUAUAAAAUGUUAUUGGCCAACCUAUGGUGCUUAUUUUGCCACAUUUAUAGCCCUCUGCAAGCCAU